GAAAGAGUCCCACCAGACUGCUAAUCUGGUACUCCAAAACUAAUACUUUGGCCCUUUCCA
rnacentral:tRNA from 1 species